CUAGCAGGUUCUGUCGCCUUGAUGUUUUGCCUCUGCCUGUGUCAGAGAGGAGCCUUUUUAAGAGGCAAAGUAGCUGAGCUCCAUGAUUCUGACCUGAAAAAUUCGGCCAUUCUCCACCUAGAUCCUUGCCAGUUGAGAGCUGUUUAGUGAGCUGGGACCUGUAUGAACAGAAGCAUAAUUGUGCUACAGAUACAUUCCUAUUUGUCUGGAGAAGACGGUGAAUCUGAAGAUUGCAGACUUGGACCAGUGAAGCUUCCUUGCAUGCAGGAGAUAGGGGGAGCGCUUUACCUGUGGAAUCCAGGUGGAGGCCUCAAAGUGGAAAAAAACAAGUUCAAGAAAGGCAAAGGCAGAGGAGCACUUACUAGUCGAAGACUUUGGCUCCAACCCCAGAAAAAGUCCAGGGGCCUAGACUCGGCCAUGUGGAGGAUUCCAUCUGCCCAGGCUGGAUAAGUCUUAGAGGCCAGAGGCAAAGCAGGAUGGAAAACACUUUUCUGGGCUUUCUUCCAAUUGUUACCACCAGGCCUUCUUACUGCUUUACCACACAGAAGGAAGAAAACCAGAGGGCCACACUAGCAGUGGAGCCCAUGCCACAUGCACAGCGAGCGGUUAGCAGAGUCCACGGCAGCCUUCCCUCUGCUUGUAGAUGAAGGAAGCAGGACAUAGAACAGUUAAAGCUGCACUCUGCCUUCUGCUUAAGAAAGAGACAAGACAUGGGGACAGCUGGGUAACAAAGAAGCUCAUCAGAGAGGAAAGAAGAGCUGAGAGACAGAGAAGUGAGCAUCUUGGAUGAGAGGAAAUGAAGUCUUCACCAGGGUUAAGAGGCUUGGCCAGGAAAGUCAAAGAGAAGAUGAUAGCUGUCAACACUGGAAAUAGAGAGUUAAAGUACUGCAAGAGAAAAAAAAGCUCAGCAGAAAAAUACAAGGGGGGAAGAAUAAUAAAUGCUGCUGAAUGAAGAUCCCGAAAGAAAGAAGGCCUUCCACUGAGGCACAGAAGAGACUCAUGGGGUCUGCACCAGAACUAGCCAGCCUUUGAAUUUGUUCAGAAUGCUCACAGCUUUCCCUUACAGAGGAGGUUAUGUAAAACCAAAGAAAGAUACAUAAUAAAAGGCUAGACUACCUGAAUAAAUCCAUUGUA